rnacentral:rRNA from 1 species
CUGUACGAGUUUGAUCAUGGCUCAGAUUGAACGCUGGCGGAAUGCUUUACACAUGCAAGUCGAACGGCAGCACGGGGCAACCUGGUGGCGAGUGGCGAACGGGUGAGUAAUAUAUCGGAACGUGCCCAAUCGUGGGGGAUAACGUAGCGAAAGUUACGCUAAUACCGCAUACGAUCUACGGAUGAAAGCGGGGGAUCGCAAGACCUCGCGCGAAUGGAGCGGCCGAUAUCAGAUUAGGUAGUUGGUGGGGUAAAGGCUCACCAAGCCAACGAUCUGUAGCUGGUCUGAGAGGACGACCAGCCACACUGGAACUGAGACACGGUCCAGACUCCUACGGGAGGCAGCAGUGGGGAAUUUUGGACAAUGGGCGCAAGCCUGAUCCAGCCAUUCCGCGUGCAGGAUGAAGGCCUUCGGGUUGUAAACUGCUUUUGUACGGAACGAAACGGUCUGCCCUAAUACGGCGGGCUAAUGACGGUACCGUAAGAAUAAGCACCGGCUAACUACGUG